rnacentral:rRNA from 1 species
UUGAACGCUGGCGGCAGGCCUAACACAUGCAAGUCGAACGGUAACAGGAAGCAGCUUGCUGCUUUGCUGACGAGUGGCGGACGGGUGAGUAAUGUCUGGGAAACUGCCUGAUGGAGGGGGAUAACUACUGGAAACGGUAGCUAAUACCGCAUAACGUCGCAAGACCAAAGAGGGGGACCUUCGGGCCUCUUGCCAUCGGAUGUGCCCAGAUGGGAUUAGCUAGUAGGUGGGGUAACGGCUCACCUAGGCGACGAUCCCUAGCUGGUCUGAGAGGAUGACCAGCCACACUGGAACUGAGACACGGUCCAGACUCCUACGGGAGGCAGCAGUGGGGAAUAUUGCACAAUGGGCGCAAGCCUGAUGCAGCCAUGCCGCGUGUAUGAAGAAGGCCUUCGGGUUGUAAAGUACUUUCAGCGGGGAGGAAGGGAGUAAAGUUAAUACCUUUGCUCAUUGACGUUACCCGCAGAAGAAGCACCGGCUAACUCCGUGCCAGCAGCCGCGGUAAUACGGAGGGUGCAAGCGUUAAUCGGAAUUACUGGGCGUAAAGCGCACGCAGGCGGUUUGUUAAGUCAGAUGUGAAAUCCCCGGGCUCAACCUGGGAACUGCAUCUGAUACUGGCAAGCUUGAGUCUCGUAGAGGGGGGUAGAAUUCCAGGUGUAGCGGUGAAAUGCGUAGAGAUCUGGAGGAAUACCGGUGGCGAAGGCGGCCCCCUGGACGAAGACUGACGCUCAGGUGCGAAAGCGUGGGGAGCAAACAGGAAUAGAUACCCUGUUAGUCCACGCCGUAAACGAUGUCGACUUGGAGGUUGUGCCCUUGAGGCGUGGCUUCAGGGGCUAACGCGUGAAGUCGACCGCCUGGGGAGUACGGCCGCAAGGUUAAAACUCAAAUGAAUUGACGGGGGCCCGCACAAGCGGUGGAGCAUGUGGUUUAAUUCGAUGCAACGCGAAGAACCUUACCUGGUCUUGACAUCCACGGAAGUUUUCAGAGAUGAGAAUGUGCCUUCGGGAACCGUGAGACAGGUGCUGCAUGGCUGUCGUCAGCUCGUGUUGUGAAAUGUUGGGUUAAGUCCCGCAACGAGCGCAACCCUUAUCCUUUGUUGCCAGCGGUCCGGCCGGGAACUCAAAGGAGACUGCCAGUGAUAAACUGGAGGAAGGUGGGGAUGACGUCAAGUCAUCAUGGCCCUUACGACCAGGGCUACACACGUGCUACAAUGGCGCAUACAAAGAGAAGCGACCUCGCGAGAGCAAGCGGACCUCAUAAAGUGCGUCGUAGUCCGGAUUGGAGUCUGCAACUCGACUCCAUGAAGUCGGAAUCGCUAGUAAUCGUGGAUCAGAAUGCCACGGUGAAUACGUUCCCGGGCCUUGUACACACCGCCCGUCACACCAUGGGAGUGGGUUGCAAAAGAAGUAGGUAGCUUAACCUUCGGGAGGGCGCUUACCACUUUGUGAUUCAUGACUGGGGUG